UGCCAGCAGCCGCGGUAACACGGGGGGCGCAAGCGUUAUUCGGAAUUAUUGGGCGUAAAGGGCGCGCAGGCGGUCUUGUCCGUCAGGUGUGAAAGCUCGGGGCUCAACCCCGGAAGUGCACUUGAAACAGCAAGACUUGAAUACGGUAGAGGAGAGAGGAAUUCCUGGUGUAGAGGUGAAAUUCGUAGAUAUCAGGAGGAACACCGGCGGCGAAGGCGACAGUCUGGCCUGCUUCUGACGCUGAGGUGCGAAAGCCAGGGGAGCAAACGGGAUUAGAUA
rnacentral:rRNA from 1 species